GAAAAUAAAUUCUCCAUUUCAAAAGAAAAUCCAGGGCGGGUCAAUCUUAUUGUCGGUCUUUGUUUCCGCUUGAGCGGAGUUAGGAAUCCACAGGACUGCGGAGCCGGUUGGUAACGCGAGCCGCCUCUGACAGGUCCCAAGGCCACACGGAGGUCCUGCAGACGAGAUGAAGAUGGCCCCUGGUGGACGUGCCCGGGGGUCCUGACACCCAGGAGAAGGGACAGAAGGACACGGCCCUGCAGGCGGUGCCCAGCCGGAAGGGGGACCUG